UAAUUACAAACGCUCUGGCACCCGCUUUUUGACACACGCUUUAUUGUGAUGCCACGUUACCAAUUCAUUUAAACUCAUUACUAGUUUACCGGUUUAACCAGUUAGCCUGUUUUUAUUUUAUUUAAUUAAUUAAUUAUACUGUGGUCUCUCCGUUCACCAUUUGAGACAGCAGGAUACUUCACCACGACCAUUCUGUCUCUGUUUGUAUUCUGAGGUAUUGUCUAUGGUAGCCACCGCCACUAACA
rnacentral:lncRNA from 1 species